rnacentral:tRNA from 1 species
GGUCCCGUAGCUCAGUUGGAUAGAGCACCGGCCUUCUAAGCCGAUGGUCGCUGGUUCGAAUCCAGCCGGGAUCACCA